rnacentral:misc_RNA from 1 species
AACGCACAUUGCGCUCCUUGGUAUUCCGAGGAGCAUGCCUGUUCGAGCGUCAUUACAACCCUCAAGCCCUGCUUGGUAUUGGGUAACAUCAAUAGCGAUGUACCUCAAAACUAGUGGCAGUGUUGCUCGGCCCUAAGCGUAGUAAAGAUCUCGCUACAGGCGCCCUGUAAGCACUCGCUAUAGUCCUAGAAUCUUCAAGGUUGACCUCGGAUCAGGUAGGGAUACCCGCUGAACUUAA